CUGAGGUGGGAGGAUGUGUGUUGUAGACUCCCACCUGGGAGCAGCCAGAGACCCAGACAGCAGAGGCCAGGUGCGCCAUGACCUGGAGAGUACCUGACUGCUUGCGGAAGCCCAUGAGGGGAAGGAUUCAUUGUUUUGCCACCGAUUUUAAGAAUGGGAUUGUUCCAUAGGACUGCCUCUACAUGGAAGAACGGAUGGAAGCAGAACUUUCUAGCCAUGUUUGACCAAGCUUGCCUCAGAGCUGUUAUUGUGGGAGCGCUGGAGCUAUAAUAAUUUGAUCCCACAAUGCCUGAAAGGGGGGGAGGAUGUGAGUAAAACAAUACGUCCAGUAAAGUACAUGCUAUUUGAAUUCAUAAAGCAAUUCUUCCCAUGUGUGUAAGCAGCCACCUCCCUCUUGCUCACUAACUGAUGUUCUGUGUAUCUUUCCCCUCUCCUCCAAACAAAGAAGAGGAUAAAAUGAAAGUUGCCAAGAGCAGAUGAUCUGGGGCUGAUCCUCUGGGACUCCUAUCACCUACUACAGCAUGAAUUUCUUAGAAGCCAGGCCUUGCCUGUCUCACCACAACUCUUCAAGGGGGUUUUGAAGCAUGGAACCUAUAAAGAUGAAUGCUGACAGGGCCAGUUUUAAUUCCCAUUGUUACUUUCUCAGGGCAAGAUGUUACACAAAUAGUUAGUUCUCUAUUGACUCCCCCACACUUUACACUGACCACUUCCACCGCCCACCCCAAAGAAAACAAACAAAAAACCUCCAACCUAACUGCAUGUUGCUCACAUAGAGAAGCUGCUGGGGGUCAGAGAAAAAGGAGCAUUAUGGUACUUCCACCCUUCCUCUUUUGCCCAUUUGAGCAGGUUUCCCUGCUCCUUUUUUCCCUUUUGCUGCUCACAUUGGAGGGAGAGGAUCUGAAUACAAAUUGUAAAUCCUGUAGAUGCAGAUUAAUUUUUCUUUGUUCAGGAUUCACCUGGGACACAAGGACUGUGACGAUUGAUAAAGGGACUGAAAACAUGUCCCCCUCUGUGUUCUGUAGUGAAACGUACAUUUUCACAGCAGUAAUUCCCAAUGAAUCACAAUUGAUCCCUGUGCCUUCUACAACGGCAACAUGCUAAUUACUAUUUUUUAACAUUAUGUUUUUAAUUGACUUCACAUAUAGUAAAGAUAUACUAGAGAUGGUCAAAAAUAAAAAGGAAACACAAAUUUUACUUUAAAGUAUUUUGGAAAAUUUUCCUCAUUUUUUGAAGUGAGUAAUUUUGUUGAAAUUUCAGAAUUUGAAGGAAUGUCACCCAUCCCCAGCAAAUACUUAUCUCAUUACCUGUGAAUUCACCAUUUAUAGAUUCAGAUACUGUGUGUCUUUGCCCCUCCAUUCCCAUCCAACAGUAGGUGUAAAAUAACCUCUUUUAGUCACUACACCUCAUUAUUUACAAAUUACAUAUGCUAGAUCAGUUCAAUGUAUCUUUUAUAAGAGAGGUUCUCCUUGGAAAGCAAUAGCCUCAGUAUGCCUGAGAUAUAAACAUUCAGCUGGGCAAAAUUUCAAAGGGUUUCCAAAACCGAAUCCAUGAAAAUUUUGUGUGACAUUUUAUACAUGCAAAUCCCCUACAUUUCCAUGUGUGAACCCAUUUAUAUCUCAGCGAGACAAUAACACACAAUAUUUAGAAUAUCACAGUGAGUGAUG